AUUCGACUCCCUCCGUUGCACAAUACUACAUGCCUUCUAUUUGUCAAAAUAUAUAUGUAUCUAGACAUGUCUUAGUAUAUAGGUACAUCCAUUUUUGGACAAAUGGAAGUCAAGUAUUUUGGAACGGAGGGAGUACACA
rnacentral:pre_miRNA from 1 species